AGGGCAAUAGCUCAACUGGUAGAGUUCUCGUCUCCAACACGAGCGGUUGUGGGUUCAAAUCCUACUUGCCCUG
rnacentral:tRNA from 1 species